rnacentral:lncRNA from 1 species
AGCAGCCCUGCCAGAAGGGAGAGAUUGGAAGGCUCCCCCGGAUAUGCUCCAUGAUCGUCAAGAGUGAGCUUGGAGUCCACUAGAAGUUCUGCCUCUGGAGCCACUUCGUUCCCGUGACAGACCUUCACCUAGACAUGACAUCACUGCAGGCCCAGCAGGUACAAGUUCUGAAUAGUGAAGACAGAGCAGACGCUGCAGGCACUCAGUAUCGGCCCCCGACCCUUCCCCCCACCCCACCCUCCAGGCCUUGCUUCUCCGCUCGAGAUCCAACUGGGCACACGCACUACAUCGGUGGCUCCUGGUGUCAAGGGUCAGCAGCCUCAGGCCUGGAUGCAGCUGGAUACAAAGCGAUGAAGCCCAGCAGCUUUCAUGACAAGAUGUGUGUAUUUAAACUCGCUCCAAGCAAUUCCAAUGAUUGUGCCCAGACCCAAUGGGCAACACCACCUCAGGUGACACGGCCCAUUCUCCCCGCAGUGGAGUAGCAGCUUGGGGCUGGUUUCCACCACAGUCCAUCCUCCCCAAGACCCUGCUCCCCCAAAGGCCAUGAUGCACAGAGAAACAGAGCUGCCCCUUUGGUCUGAGUGCUUACACCAAUGGCAUGUGAAAGCUCAAGUCAAUCUGAGCCAGUCCACAGGAAGCCCCCUCCCCCAUCUUACCAGGCUCCACCCCUUGUGACCAUGCCCUGUCCCACUGCCAGGAUGUGCUAGAAUCUGCUCCCAACGACAGCCACGUGCUAGAAUGGCUCCAAGCAGCCCAGAAAGGUCGGCACAACCACGGCUGUGUGUUACUGUGCCAAAGUGGAGCUGUGACAGAGUGGGCUCUGCUCCUGUCUUGUCUACAACAUACCACCUUGGGGGGGGGGGACACUCUGACCCCCCCCAACAAUGCCUACCCCCUCCUCCCCAUAUCCCCUGGCCUGUGCUUCCUGGACGAGGUAGAAGAGGCGUCCUGAAGUCCAUGGCAGCGGAGCACGAACGUGUCAUCUAAGCAGCACGCAGCACCUCUUGGCCUGUGGUCAACACCUCCACGCAGGUGGAAUCAAGUGAGAAUGCGCAAGCCAGACCAGAGGCUGCUGGGAGCCCGGGAGACACCACACCCUCCUAGGCGGCUCUGGAGCAUAGGCUUUCAAAAAUACAAACUUGAUCACAUGGUCCCCAGUGGUUUCCCUAUAGAAUACUGGCCCAGGGGAGAAGCAAAGUCAUCUCUGCAAAAGACGAAUGGGAGAAAGGCAGGAAUAUUAACGAGCAUCCACUAAGGCUCGCUCUCCCUCAAGCCUCAAGAAGGUAUUCGAGUGUUAAGAGAAGGGUGCAGAGAGGGGAGAGCCUGGCAGAAUACCGAGAAAAGACCUGUGGCUGCUGGUUACGUAGUGCCCUGGUUUCCUUGCUGGAGGCCAACAACAUGUGCCUGGCACCAGGCUAGCCUGGGACCCAGGAGGGGACAGGGAGAAGACUGGUGGUCAGUUCCUGCAUGGUCGGUGU